AACGCUAGCUACAGGCUUAACACAUGCAAGUCGAGGGGCAGCAUUAACGAAAGCUUGCUUUUGUUAGAUGGCGACCGGCGCACGGGUGAGUAACGCGUAUCCAACCUGCCAUAUACAGAGGGAUAGCCUUGCGAAAGUAAGAUUAAUACCUCAUGGUUUAUGUUUGCCGCAUGGUGAGUAUAAUAAAGAUUUAUCGGUAUAUGAUGGGGAUGCGUCCCAUUAGAUAGUCGGCGGGGUAACGGCCCACCGAGUCGACGAUGGGUAGGGGUUCUGAGAGGAAGGUCCCCCACAUUGGGACUGAGACACGGUCCAAACUCCUACGGGAGGCAGCAGUGAGGAAUAUUGGUCAAUGGACGAGAGUCUGAACCAGCCAAGUAGCGUGCAGGAAGACGGCCCUAUGGGUUGUAAACUGCUUUAGUAUGGGAAUAAAGUCACCCACGUGUGGGUGUUUGCAUGUACCAUAAGAAUAAGGACCGGCUAAUUCCGUGCCAGCAGCCGCGGUAAUACGGAAGGUCCGGGCGUUAUCCGGAUUUAUUGGGUUUAAAGGGAGCGUAGGCGGACUUUUAAGUCAGUUGUGAAAGUUCACGGCCCAACCGUGAAAUUGCAGUUGAAACUGGCGUCCUUGAGUACGGUUGAGGCAGGCGGAAUUCGUGGUGUAGCGAUGAAAUGCUUAGAUAUCACGAAGAACUCCGAUUG
rnacentral:rRNA from 1 species